rnacentral:rRNA from 1 species
CCGGUGAAUACGUUCCCGGGCCUUGUACACACCGCCCGUCAAGCCAUGGAAGCUGGGGGUACCUGAAGUCGGUGACCGUAAGGAGCUGCCUAGGGUAAACUGGUAACUGGGGCU